rnacentral:lncRNA from 1 species
UUUUUCGUGGACACUUAAUUUUCCUUUUGUGUAAAGACUAUUCCCAUUUCAGUGAAUCUCAUGCUUUCUGGGAUUUUUUUUUCUUUUUAGGGCCACACCUGCCACAGAAGGAAGUUCCCAGGCUAGGGGUUGAAUCUGAGCUGCAGCUGCAGGCCCACGCCACAGCCACAGCAAUGCCUGAAUCUGAGCAGCAUCUGUGACCUACACUGGAGCUUUCAGCAAUACCAGACCCUUAACCCUCUGAGCGAAGCCAGGGAUUGAACCCACCUCCUCGUGGAUACUGGUCAGAUCCUUAAACCGCUGAACCACACGGGAACUCCUGGGGUUUUUUUAAUUAAACAAAAAUGAACUGGAAGAGGUAGUCAAAAAAGAAAUAGGAGUACGUGUGUGUGUGUGUGUGUGUGUGUGUGUGAGAGAGAGAGAGAGAGAGAGAGAGAGAGAGAAUGAUAGUUGCUGCUAUAUGAACGAUUUAUGUAAAAUAAAGGAUUUGUGAUUAGAUAGGCACAGGUUUAAAUCCUAAUUCCAUCAUUUAUUAACUAAGUGAUUUAGACAAAUUAGAUGAUCUCAGGGGUUUUUUUUUUCAUCUGUAAAAUGGGUAUAAUUUUAAUUGCUUAGCACUAACUGAGGAGGUGCUCAAUGAAUGACAGUGCCCAUUAUUACCUAUAAUGAAAGCUCAGAAAAAACUUUAUGGAACUCAUGACCCACUUCUAUAGUUUUAGAAGUUCUAUGGUUCUUGAUUAUUCUACCCAUUUGACCAGUGAAUCUUCACACCGCUUGUUAAUUUCAGUUUUGAACUCCAUAUUUUAAAAUGUGUAUAGAUCCUCUUUCUUUAGGGCUGCUCCUGUGGCAUAUGAAAGUUCCCAGGCUGAUGGUCAGAUUGGAACUGCAGCUGCCGGCCUACCCCACAGCCACAGUCACACUGGAUCUGAGCCACAUCUGUGACCUACACCACAAGUUCAAGGCAAUGCCAGAUCCUUAACCCACUGAAUGAGGCCAUGGACCAAACCUUCAUCCAAAUGGACACUAGUUGGGUUCUUAACCCCCUGCGCCACAAUGGGAACUCCCUGAAAUACCUGUAGCCUUUACGUCCUAAUUGGGAAGCCAAGACCCAUAAGUCAUGGACCUAAUUGGCCAACCCCUUCUGCACAUCCUACAUCACAGGUUUCAGGUUGGUCAUUCUUAGUGCCCAAAAAUGCUGCUGCUCAAGAUAACUUGGAUUUUAAAAGUCAUUAUUCGUUUGCCAAACUGAAUGAGUAAGAAGGAGUUUACAUUGUCCGAACUUUACUUCCGUGAAAGUGAGUCCACGGUAAGAGUCCUGGGGAUCUGGGCUGAAGAGGCAGGGGACAGGGGGAGAGAGGGGAAGAAAUCCGGAAAUCGGUAUUGAGAGGUCAAGCCAGAUGGCAAGACCAGCAGACAGGCCACCUGAAGGGUUACUCCAAAAAGGCUGAAAGAUUUUCUUUUCUGUGGAAAUGUGCAUUGAUGCUGUAUAUUAGAUUCCAGUUAUAAGCGAUAUCAUGGACUUGGAGAAUAGACUUGUGACUGUCCGGGGAGGAGAGGAAGGGAGUUGGAGGGAUCGGGAGCUUGGGUUAUCAGAUGCCAACUAUUUUUGUUCUUGGAAUGGAUUUACAAUGAGAUCCUGCUGUGUAGCAUUGAGAACUAUGUCUAGAUACUUACAUCGCAAUAAAACAAUAGGAGGGAAAAGAAUGUAUACAUGUAUGUGUAACUUGCUCCCCAUGCUGUACAGCGGAAAAUAAAUAAAUAAAAAAAUAAAUAAUAAAAGGGCUGAAAGAGCUGUGCAGGCAUGAAAACAGAAUCAAUGAAAAACCUUAGGACAAAGUAGGAGGUUUGGGAUGGAAAUAGGGGAGAGGCCUGAGAAAACUCCCUGAGAUCCUAGAAAGUUGCUGCCGGGCUUAGAAAGUUCUGCAUGUGGGAGGAUUGGGGGUGGAGAGUCUGGGUCAGGGAGGCAUCCAGGUUGCCAGGCCAAGAGCCAAUCCCCCCACUCCCCUUGUGCUGCUGCCAGUACAACCUUUAUAGCAGAUUCUUUUUGGGAGUAAGAGCCCCUCAAAUACAUUUGUCUUGCGAUAACUGAAUUUUAGUACUUAACAUUUUAAAAUGAUGGUUGUCAACUCUGGUGAUCAUUUGAGAAUCACUUGAGGAGUUUUACAGAAAUGCCAACACCUGGGCCCCAGCCCACAACAAUCAAAUGGAAUUUGAUGGGGCAGAUUCCAGAUAUGGAUAUUUUUGAAAAAGGUCUUCCCUGGUGAUUCCCCCUAUUCAUCUAGAUUUGAGAACGACUGCCCCCAAAUAGUCUAAAUUUAACUUAAUUUUUAUGAACUGAUUGCCACUUACGCUCAACACUCAGGACUUCUAAUGCUUUCAUGUGCUAUUUAAACAUUUUCUUCCUCUGCUUUUUGCUGCCCACAAGCCUACCUCUAGGAGCUGUCUAUCCUUCCUCCUGUUCUCCUGGGUUCUGAUUUGAAUCUUCCAAUGAUGUUCACAUCAUCGGGGGAAUUGUUAGCAUUGCGGGACAUGAUCAUUCUGUCUGUUUGGCAAGUGGCUUUGGGGGCUUUUGCCCUUCCAGGUUCCAGGUCUCCAAGUAUUAAAAUGUCUUCAGGAGGAGUUCCUGUCAUGGCGCAGUGGUUAAUGGAUCCGACUAGGAAUCAUGAGGUUGCGGGUUCGAUCCCUGCCCUUGCUCAGUGGGUUAAGGAUCUGGCGUUGCCGUGAGCUGUGGUGUAGGUCGCAGACACGGCUUGGAUCCCAUGUUGCUGUGGUUCUGGCCUAGGCUGGUGGCUACAGCUCCUAUUAGACCCCUGCCUGGGAACCUCCAUAUGCCGUGGGAAUGGCUCAAGAAAAGACAAAAAAUAAAUAAAAAAAUAAAAAA